GGGGAUUUUUGAAGAGAAAAUGCGAGAUUUUUGAGUUAAAUGGGGGAUUUUGCAAGAGAAAAUGGGUGAUUUUGGGGUUAAAUGGGGGAUUGUUGAAGAGACAAUGCAUGAUUUUGGGGUUAAGGGGGGGAUUUUUGAAGAGAAAACGCGUAAUUUUUGGUUUAAACAGCUAUUUUUGAAGAGAAUAUGCGUGAUUUUCAGUUUAAAUCAGGGAUUCUCAAAGAGAAGAUGUGUGAUUUUUGUUUGAAUGGGGUAUUUUUGAAGAGAAAAUGCAUGAUUUUCGGGUUAAAUGGGGGAUUUCGGAAGAGAAAAUGCGUGUUGUUUGAGAUAAACGGGGGAUUUUUGUAGAGCGAAUGCAUGAUUUUCGGGUUAAAUGGGGGAUUU
ensembl:lncRNA